AACGAACGCUGGCGGCAUGCCUAACACAUGCAAUUCGAACGAGACCUUCGGGUCUAGUGGCGCACGGGUGCGUAACGCGUUGGAACCUGCCCUUAGGUUCGGAAUAACUCCCCGAAAUGGGUGCUAAUACCGGAUAAUUUCUUCGGACCAAAGAUUUAUCGCCUUUGGAUGGGCCCGCGUUGGAUUAGCUAGUUGGUAGGGUAAAAGCCUACCAAGGCGACGAUCCAUAGCUGGUCUGAGAGGAUGAUCAGCCACACUGGGACUGAGACACGGCCCAGACUCCUACGGGAGGCAGAAGUGGGGAAUAUUGGACAAUGGGCGAAAGCCUGAUCCAGCAAUGCCGCGUGAGUGAUGAAGGCCUUAGGGUUGUAAAGCUCUUUUACCCGGGAUGAUAAUGACAGUACCGGGAGAAUAAGCUCCGGCUAACUCCGUG
rnacentral:rRNA from 1 species